CCUACGGGUGGCAGCAGUGGGGAAUAUUGGUCAAUGGGCGCGACCCUGAACCAGCCAAGUCGCGUGAAGGAUGACUGCCCUACGGGUUGUAAGCUUCUUUUAUAGAGGAAUAAAGUGAGGCACGUGUGCCUUUUUGUCUGUACUUUAUGAAUAAGGAUCGGCUAACUCCGUGCCAGCAGCCGCGGUAAUACGGAGGAUCCGAGCGUUAUCCGGAUUUACUGGGGUUAAAGGGAGCGUAGAUGGGUUGUUAAGUCAGUUGUGAAAGUUUGCGGCUCAACCGUAAAAUUGCAAUUGAUACUGGCAGCCUUGAGUGCAGGAGAGGUAGGCGGAAUUCGUGGUGUAGCGGUGAAAUGCUUAGAUAUCACGAAGAACUCCGAUUGCGAAGGCAGCUUACUAAACUGCCACUGACAUUGAUGCUCGAAAGCGUGGGUAUCAAACAGGAUUAGAUACCCGUGUAGUC
rnacentral:rRNA from 1 species